rnacentral:rRNA from 1 species
ACGAACGCUGGCGGCGUGCUUAACACCUGCAAGUCGAACGGUGAAGCGCCUUCCUUUUUGGUGGGUGUGGAUGAGUGGCGAACGGGUGAGUAACACGUGAGUAACCUGCCCCCUUCUUCUGGAUAACCGCAUGAAAGUGUGGCUAAUACGGGAUAUUCUGGGUCUGUCGCAUGAUGGGUCUGGGAAAGAUAUUGUUUCGGUGGGGGAUGGGCUCGCGGCCUAUCAGCUUGUUGGGGGGGUGAUGGCCUACCAAGGCGGGGACGGGUAGCCGGCCUGAGAGGGUGGACGGGCAAAAUGGGACAGAGACACGGGCCAGACUCCUAAGGGAGGCAGCAGGGGGGAAUAUUGGACAAUGGGCGCAAGCCUGAUGCAGCGACGCCGCGUGAGGGAUGGAGGCCUUCGGGUUGUGAACCUCUUUCGCCAGUGAAGCAGGCCUGCCUCGUUUGUGGGUGGGUUGACGGUAGCUGGAUAAGAAGCGCCGGCUAACUACGUG